CUCAAUCAUAUGAAAAUGAAUCACUUUUUAUAUACUCACAUAUGACAACUUCCUUACUAAAGAGAAAAGAAGGGAAGAAGAGAUAAUAUUGAGGAUCUAUAAUGAUCACUUUGUUAUCGUUCUUCUCUAGACAGAUAUUAUAAUUAAAUUUUCAUUAAUGAACAUCACGAUAAAUAUCAUUUCGUUAUUUACUAUAUAUAACUUCAUUUAUUCUAAUUUCACGCGAUCAUUAUUGGUAUUUGCUAUGAUAUAUUGGUAUGAUAUACUGGUAUAUGCUAUAUUGUUUUCCACGGUUCUCAGCAUUUGAAUAAUCUAACUCGAGAAAUUAAUAUUAUUUGCUGACAUCUCGUGAACGGUGUUUUCCCUUUAUGUCCCUUAUUCAUAUGAUAUCAUACUACACCAAUGAUUAAUGUUUAUGUACGUUGUCAUUUUUAUCGCUUACUUUCCGUAUUUAAAAACUUCGAAAUAUGCGACAAAAAAUACAACCUGUCUUUACUAAUGAAAGUUUAUAAGUAUUUUGAAAGUAUUUAAGUUGACUCCCGAUUUCGAACUAUUAAUCCGUAAAAUGUACGUGCAUUCAUCUAUCCUGAUCUGUGAUAUGUUUCAACAAAUGCUUAUUUUUCUUCUUAGAGUAAAAUAAAGAUUUCAACAGAAAUGAUCAAAACAUAAAUCAAUUAAACAAUUCAAUAAUAACAAAUAAUCGAUUGCAUAAAAUUGUUACAAUUCAUCUAUCGAAUGAUUAUUCGGUGUUCUAAUUAAUAUGAUAAUAAGGAAUUUCAAGAUUCAAUUGAGAAAAAUGAUUUAUAUAUUUUUAAUCGAUGCCGGUGUAUACGUGUAAGAUAACUCUUAGAUAUUUCUGUGCAACGUAGUUGCCCCUCCCUUUGCGUUAUCGUUGUGAGGAAUUGGUUGCCUGAAGGCAGUCCUCCGCAUUAUUUAUCAUAUAUUAGGCUUUGAAACUAUCAUUAUCGCAAUUCGAAAAACGUCAUAUUACGCACAACGUAAAAUAGUGAGAAUAGUACAAAAGAAUUGGUAUCAUCGGAAAAGCUUCGUAUUCUAUUUCAUUGCGUCAAUUGUCUUCUUAAUGAAAUUUUGGAAAUGCAUAUAAAUUACAUAUUUCUGAAAAUUAUAUAUGUAUGUAUGAUCAAAAGAAGAACGUAGCAUCAAAACAAGUUAAAUAGUAAACACGAAAAACAUGUUUGCGUCGUUACGAUAACAAAUACGGUGAAGGUAAAAAGAUACAUAGAUCUAAAAAUAUCUUUUGAAACCAGCAUGACACAUUAACGAGAAUAAACAGAGAUGAAUGAUCCUUUUAUUCUAUUUGCAAUAACAGAUUCUGCAUUUGUAUGUGCAGGAAUGCUUCGCGUUGUGUGUAGA